AUCUGAUUCUUCCCAUCGCUGAAGCUCUGGGUGCUCAGGGUCGUUCGACUGAAAGAUGAUUGAAUUACAAACUAUGAAUCAGCAGAGAAAUCAUGUUUCUCAUUAAAUGGAAAAUUUCAAAGGUAGGUUCAUAAACACAAAGAAACAUGAGUCCUAAAAAGUGGAACGUGUCGUGUGUCGAAUGCUCAAACUGCGUUCGAUCUCUUCUCGUGUUUCAGCUCCUUCGUCUGUGCGUGUUGGCGAUGAAUCUCUUCAGUGAAGAAGAAAAAAACUUUUUCGGAUACAGAAGAAGUAAAACUGUGAACUUUGAUGACAACACUGAGUUUGAUUUUGUAACAUCGUGAUUUCGUUGUUUGCAGUAGAAACUGUUUGUUUUACAGUUUCCAGAUCCCAAACUUUCCUAACUCCCUCAAUGCCUGAAAACCUACGCCAAUGAAAACUCCAGGUACUCUUCUUUCCUCUCAGCAGCUGAUAACCAGCUCAGUCAGUCAAAGUGUAAAAGAUGUGUGCUCUCUAUCUGUGACCUUUCCCCCUCUCCAGGCUAACUCCUCCACAGUGAGCCCACAGCAGCCGCCGCCUCCCCGCCACGGCUGCUGGACUUCAAAGGACAAAGACUGGCGUGAUACCAGAGUCGUACUACAGCGCUCUUCACAAACUUUAACUUCUGUGCCUCGCUUUUUUUCUCUUCAACGUUUUACACCAUUGUCUCACACACUACUGCUUAUUAAUGGAAAGUUCUCGGACUCUGUUUACGGCCGUAUGAUACACGUAUUUACAGAGAACUUUUCUACACUUAUGUCACACAUAUUGAGGUAAACUCUUAUCGCCUUUAUUAAGAUGAAGCGUAUUUGAGUUGUCUCAGAGAUACAGGAAGUAUAGUCAGAAAAAAACAAACAAGAUCAGUCCCAGCUGGAUAAUCAGUGUGUUAUUCUUCAAUAGAUGAAGGUCAAGUUGUCGUUGUUUUGAAACGUUGCACUCGAUAAUUGCUGGCUCUACUUUAAAGCUGUAGCAGUAAUUUUAAACAGCGUUGUUGUAGUAUUAGUGUAGUAUUAGUGUAGUAUUAGAGUAGUAUUAGAGUAGUAUUGGUGUAAUCUAGUAUAAAAGUAUCUGUUUCAGUGACUCUGAUCUGUCUUUUUUCUGCUGCCGCUGGUCCAGCAGGACAACAGGGAGACUUAUUGUCUCGGCUGGGAU